AAGCUCGUAGUUGAAUUUCGGGAUUGGGAUAUAUCGGUCGUGCCUUUAGGGGCAUGAAAUGGUGUGUAGCCAAUUUCUCACCUUCUGGUGAGUCGGGAUGCUCUUGGGUGUUUCGAUGAAUCAGGACCCUUUACUUUGAAAAAAAUUAGAGUGUUUAAAGCGGGCAUUUUUGCUUGAAUACAUUAGCAUGGAAUAAUAAAAUAGGACGAUGGUUUUAUUUGUUGGUUUUAGGACCACGUAAUGAUUAAUAGGGAUAGUUGGG
rnacentral:rRNA from 1 species